GAUGAACGCUGGCGGUGUGCCUAAUACAUGCAAGUCGAGCGAACGGACGAGAAGCUUGCUUCUCUGAUGUUAGCGGCGGACGGGUGAGUAACACGUGGAUAACCUACCUAUAAGACUGGGAUAACUUCGGGAAACCGGAGCUAAUACCGGAUGAUAUUUUGAACCGCAUGGUUCAAAAGAGAAAGACAGUCUUGCUGUCACUUAUAGAUGGAUCCGCGCUGCAUUAGCUAGUUGGUAAGGAAACGGCGUACCAAGGCAACGAUGCAUAGCCGACCUGAGAGGAUGAUCGGCCACACUGGAACUGCGACACGGUCCAGACGCCUACGGGAAGCAGCAGGAGGGAAUCGUCCGCCAGGGGCGGAAGCCUGACGGAGCAACGCCGCGUGAGGGAUGAAGGUCUUCGGAUCGUAAAACUCUGUUAUUAGGGAAGAAAAUAUGUGUAAGUAACUGUGCACAUCUUGACGGGACCUAAGCAGAAAGCCACGGCUAACUACGUG
rnacentral:rRNA from 1 species